GGAAGUGAGGGCGAUCUGGCGGCGACAUCUGUCACCCCAUUGAUCGCCAGGGUUGAUUCGGCUGAUCUGGCUGGCUAGGCGGGUGUCCCCUUCCUCCCUCACCGCUCCAUGUGCGUCCCUCCCGAAGCUGCGUGCUUGGUUGAAGAGGACGACCUUCCCCGAUAGAAGGAAGACCGUUCUUCGGUCAAGGGUAUAUACUUUUGACUUGCCCUUGUUUGUUACUGGUUUUUUAAAAUUUUUGUUUCAAGAAAAUGUGUACUAUUU
rnacentral:sRNA from 1 species